rnacentral:lncRNA from 1 species
UGCAAUGAUGCAGUGGAUAAAGGGGAGUAAGUAGUGUACAAUGUUGUAGUGGAUAAAGGAGUAGUAAGUAAGUAGCAUUGUUGUAGUGGAUAAUUGGAGUAAGUAAGGUACAAUGUUGUAGUGGAUAAAGGGAGUAAGUAAGGUGCAAUGUUGUAGUGAAUAAAGGGAGUAAGUAAGGAGCAAUGGUGUAGUGGAUAAAGGAGUAAGUAAGGAGCAAUGAUGCAGUGGAUAAGGGAGUAGGUAAGGUACAAUGUUGUAGUUGAUAAGGGAGUAGGUAAGGUACAAUGUUGUAGUGGAUAAGGGAGGAAGUAAGGU